rnacentral:rRNA from 1 species
UUACCCAAUCCUGACACAGGGAGGUAGUGACAAGAAAUAACAAUACGGGGCUUGAAGUCUUGUAAUUGGAAUGAUGGGAAUUUAAACCCCUUCCAGAGUAUCAAUUGGAGGGCAAGUCUGGUGCCAGCAGCCGCGGUAAUUCCAGCUCCAAUAGCGUAUAUUAAACUUGUUGCAGUUAAAAAGCUCGUAGUUGAAUUUCUGCUGUUUCGUUGACUGCGUUUGGCGUUUGUCAUCGUUGCGGCUUGGUUGGGUUUCGAUUAUUCGUUUCCCGGCGUUUACUUUGAGAAAAUUAGAGUGCUUGAAGCAGGCUUUUGCCUUGAAUACUUUAG